UUCUGGGAGGAUUGACAGAUUGAGAGCUCUUUCUUGAUUCGGUGGAUGGUGUUGCAUGUCCGUUCUUAGUUGGUGGAGCGAUUUGUCUGGUUAAUUCCGAUAACGAACGGGACUAGCCUAUUAAAUAGGUGCGUGGUUCUCUGCACCUUGCACCCUUCUCAGGGGGGAAAGCGGCUCUUAGCCGCACGAAACAGAGCAAAAACAGGUCUGUGAUGCCCUUAGAU
rnacentral:rRNA from 1 species